GGGGGUAUAGCUCAGUUGGGAGAGCGCCUGCCUUGCAAGCAGGAGGUCACGAGUUCGAAUCUCGUUAUCUCCA
rfam:Anaerostipes sp. 992a contig000012, whole genome shotgun sequence.